AUGUUCUUCAAAAAUGCCAAGAAAAAAUUGAUGGCAAAGAGGCAAAUUUUUCAGUUAAUCAAAAGGAGAAGUAAGUCGCCUAUGUCUUGUCCACAACCUAGUGAUGCGAAGUGGGAGAAAAUGCAUGCUAGCAUGAACCAUGAGGGAAGAAAUGGGCCAAUCGACAAAAACCUGGGAAAGGACUCCAAAAAUGAGCUACAAGCCCUUCAAAAUCAGGGAGGCAACAAAAUUGUCUCUGAAAAAGAGCUAGACAUCAAGAUUUACAAUGAAAAAACUAAAAAGAAUGACCAGUUUGACGAGGAACCCAUCAGUAAAUCGCCCAGUAAAAUUAUAAAUAAGUUAAGCGGCAGUAGUAUCAUAAUCGUGUAUGAAAAUAGUUUAGGUACCAAAACUAGUUCCAGAACGAGUCAGCUUGAGGUUCAAGGGUCAGGCAGUAGUGUCAGAAUUUUGUCCAACCUGGCGAACCAUCGACACUGCAGUGGCGAUGUAAGUUGCACUGGAUUAAAUCUCACCUCCAGCUCAUCCAGUAAAAGUUUGGACGCAGAAAUUCACAAUAACCUCCAAUCAUCACCCAAAAAUCAUGAGAAGAAGAUUGUGAUCCAGUGUUGUAGAUCAAAAAAAGGCAAAGACAAGCAUAGUAGACAUGAGCGGAAGAAACAGAAAACAAGGAUGAAACUCAUACCGCCGGAAGAGUUAUCAGAGCCGAAGUGUGUGAAAAUUGUAAAAAGAGCUAUCACUAGUGACGCAGAUUUGAUGCACGAUCUGAGUAACAUGAUGACAGGGGGCAGAUUAAUGCAAACUUUGAACUCUUUCCUCGGGGCUGACCAAUCUAACUAUGUCGAAAUAAUUCAGAGAGUGAAUGGCUUGAAGCAGCACAAAAUUUUGCUCUUUAAGCGUCAGAUAGAAAAAUGCAAAAAAUGUAAGGAGGAAGAGUUUUGUGGGACUGUCAAUUUGAAGCCAGAAAGUAACAUCGUAAGAUUAACCGUUAAAAGGACCGAUAAAAAUACUGAAAGAACCACUGAGGAUUCCUCUAUAAAAUCCACAGAUUUUAAUCCCUUACAUUUGUCUGAAAAAAACUAUCCGACUGGUGAUGCUAAUGAACUUAACACUAAUGGAAGAAAACCUCCUCAACUAAAAAACCUAAUUUCUCGAGCCAGUGAUAUCAAUGUUCUUGUGGCGUCAACCUUGAAUGAGCUCACAGGAGGUCUAAAUGCCCAAAGCAAUUAUACAAAAUCAGAAAGACACGAAAGCUCAAGUAACAAUGCCUCAGCCGAGAUCCUGGGAGGUAUUUCUAACAUCAAGGAGAGUAUCCGUGACAUUAGCUGUGAAAAAAGCAUUGUACGAAACUCAGAAUCAGACAGUAAGAGCAUGAAAACCGGGUACUAUAAUUUGAAAAAAUCCUACGCUGCUUCAAUUACCUUACAGAAACUGGCCAGUGUGGAGAGUUUUCAACGGAUAGCAGCGAGUCCAAAACAUUCUAGAGUCCUAACCUCCGUAAGGUCAAAGAUGGACGUAAAAGAGGAAAUUGUAAGUGUCACUACAUCAGAGGAGAGUAUGGUAAGCUCAGGUCAAAGUUUGAAGAAAACCUCGAGGCUCAUCGAUGCAGAGAAACAUUCCUAUGUAGAGAAGAAUAAUGAUUAUUUAAAAUUAGACUUUAUGAAUUUUAAUUUCAACAAACAGUUGGAUACACUAAUAGCCCCCACUCCAAAAUGCUUCAAACAUGGAAAGCAGCAAAAAGAGCGGCUUGGAAGCGUUGAAGAUGUGAAGAGAAAGAAAAAAGCUGCCUUUUGGGGUAGAAAAUUUAUUCAUUUAUCAGCCCCUCCUUGUAGAAUGAAAAAAUCAAACCACCGCCAUUGUCAUAAACUGGUUUAAAUGCUCUUGUCUAAACACCCUAGGCUGCAAGCAAAUCAUGAAAGAAGAAUUAAAAAAAUGAUUAAGCUAAGUCUGUUUUAAUUUGUUUUUUUGUUCCUCAGCAACCUAAAAUCCUAUUUAUGUAAUCAACUUAAUAGAUUUCAUGGUAAAUUUCAGUAAAACUCAUAUUUUAGGACUCGGGUGCAAACACGACACAUCUCUGUUACGGCGUAUUAGAAUCGACACCAAUGUGUUUUUCUUCUUUUUUUGUGUGAAGAAACUACUGGAUAACUGAACUUGAGAUUUACGCUCAAGGUAUCAUUAAAUAGAUCGUAUUCAGGAAAAAGGAACCAGCGUGAUUACAAUGUUUUAAAAAUCAUGCAACUUCUUCUUUCCUUUUAACAAUGCUUAAUAUAUGCACUGUAUUAAAAUCUACACAGUUAGUUUCCUUUGAAAUUAACAAAUUUUUGGUCGGAAGCAAAAACUAUUUGCUAUUCUUGGAGAUUUUUUGGAUAAUUAUGAAGAAGCAACAUUUUUACAACACAGUAAUUACGCUGGUUCCUUUCUGCUAAAUGGGAUCCAAAUUAUGAAGAAUAUAUAUUGUCAAGUUCGCAUUCUCCACAAGCAUUUUUUUCUCUGUUAAGACACAAAAUGUCAAAGAAAAAUCUGAAAUACUGAAACCAAGAAGUGCCCUUUUUGCUCACUAGUUAUUAAUUGCAAUAUUAUUGCCACUACAUAGAGGAGUACCUAUUUUACAAACAUUUUUUAAUAAAAACAUCUGAAAAUGUUUAACUGGAUCGAAGUCAUGACAGUUUGAGUGGGGAAAAAAACUAAUAUCGAGAAUAAGUUAAUUUAAAUUUUUAUUUGUCAUAUUCAGGGCUGUAAAUCGUUGAAUUGGACCACAUUUUGCAAUUAGAAAGCACAAAUUCUGGCUCAGGUUAGAAACAGCGUAUAUACUAUUAGUUUCCCUAUGCAUGUAAAGGUUUUUAUGGAUGAGCUAGAAACUGUAGCUCCUAAUUUCAAAAUGUAGUCCAAUUAUUGUGUGGCUUUGCCCUCUUUCCCAGCACAUAUGGGAACUGUCGUGUUUGCAACUUAUUCUCAAGGAUGCAAGAGUCUUUUUUUCAUUAAAAACUCUAAUUCCUUUUUUCAACUCACCUUCACAAACCUCUCUCUGAUAAAUGUGCCUCAGUGCUGUAAAGUCCCUUUAAACUUUAACUCGUGCUCUUCCACAAAUAAAUUGAAGUAUUUUUUACAUGUUGUCAAAUUUUUUCUACAGGACACCUGAAGAAUCGUUGCCUGCAUGGAGCGGAGGCAAGAAUCUUGAUCGCGUUGUUCCAGUAUUUCUUUCUUACAUUUUAUUUAUUUAUUCAUUUUUUUGAAGACAAUUGAAUGAAUGUCUCUGGAAUUUCUUGUAACUCUCCUUUAUCUUCAGGAGAAAGACAUCUAACAUUUUCAGACUUUUUGCAAUACUGCCGUGCUAAGGAAGAACGCUGUAUGAACAUUUGAGAAUUGCCAAAUUUUCUUUCAUAAAAUGUUUAUUUUUAAGGAAUGUUAUGAAUAUUUUUCCUUCAAAUUUUCAGAAGCUGUAGAUAAAAUUGCGAACAAAAUUAUCUAAAAAAUUGGUGGGAAAAUAUUCAUGAUAUUCUCCAAAAAUAAUCAUUUUAUCGAAGGAAAUUUGGCAAUGCCUGAAGGUUCAUACGGCGUUUUUCCUUAGCAUGGCAGAAUAGUCCUCCUAUAUAUAAUGAAAUAUUCAUAGAAAUACUGGAACAGCGCUACAGGCUGAUUAUUGAAAUUUAGAGACAAGUGAGACGAAAGGAUAACGCAAUGAACAAUUGGUCGAAACAGGUGGCUGUUUUAAAUCAAAGAAGGAAAUGAUGGACUGACUGUAGGGUCCCUUGUGAAUUGCCGGUAAUCAGACUUUCAUUUACCUCCUUAUUGAUUCUAGCCACCCACUUUCACUACUAGGAUCUCUCUGCUUUCAAUUUCUCUUCUUUGUCUACCAAUUUCAAUAAUCAGGUCGCAGGCAAGGGCAAGGUAUGUUUAUCCUUGCGUACGGGAUGCGAUGAAGUCUCUAAUGGAGGGGUGUGAAAAGUUCAGGAUCACAAAUUAAGUUUAAUAGGAAGUUCUCUGGAAUGUCAAAAUAGUGUGGAUGCAAUCCAGCAGAUUAAUAAUUCCUAAAAAUUAAAUUGAAUCAAAUAGGAAGUCAUCUAUCUCGCAAGCAAAUUUUGCUGGAUGAAUGGAGAUUUCUUCUGCAGUAAACAUGAAAUAAAUGAACGGUUUGUGUUAAUAUCAGAAUGAUUCUAUUGGCUUAGGCGCAUAAUUUUAUCAGAAUCAAAAGAUUUACACGUUUUUAUCAGUGGUUUAGUUUUUAAAGCACAACUCAUCAACAUUCUCAAUUUGGAAUUUUUGAAUAAUACAAACAGAUUUUGCUGUUGGAGAAAAAAAAUGAAUAAAUAAAUUCCUCUCUAAUUAGUUUUAAAGUUGAGCAGACUUUUAAUUUCAUUGGGCAGUCAAAGCCCCACAAAUGAAAUCAAUUCUAAUUCAAGGAAGCAUGUUCUAACUUUUUCUAGGGUGAAACUUAGAAACAGCUAUAUCCUCGAUUCAUCCGGUAAUAUUUCUCCUCUUUUAAAUCAAGUUAUGAAAUGCGUAGACUUCUAAUCACAUGGGACCUGAGAAGCAUCAUAAACGUAAAGAAUAUAUCGAGUUCAAGCUUCACGCCAUCGCGCCUUCAAUUUUGCAGAUGCAACACGGACAUCCAUCGAGUACGAAUGGUCGUAUGUCUGUGCCGUCAUCACCUCGCGUCCUUUCUCUUGCCCCAUUCCUAAUGUUAAGUUGGUUCCGUUUGUCUCAUUUGUGGUGGUGUCAAGAGCUAUGUGAGCAACACAGCCGAAGAUAGAAAAGACGUGAUCGGGCCUUAAUUUUUAACUUUUCUCUCGAACCUGAGCGACAGCGCCUUUACAAAAUAGAGCUGAGUAUUGCGAGUUCACGCCUCACGUCAUCGCGCCUUCAAUUUUUCAUAAUGCAACACGGACAUUCAUCAAGCACGAAUAGUUGUAUCUUUACGCUGUCAACGCAAAGUGCCUCUUAUCUUUGGAAUUUGAGAAAAGUUAAGGUUCAGUCCGCUCAAAAUCAUGGGCGUAGCUCGGGGGGUCCUUGGGGGGGCCUCCAGAAAUCUCGUGCCCCCCUCCCCCCAGAAAAACGGAGACACAAACUCGGACAACAUGCUUUCUUCUUUGUGCUAUGCAUUCAUACGUGACUGUUGUUUUUUUCGAGUGAAUAAAGUCUAAAGAUAAAGAACCAACUUGAUUACGAAGUCUGUGCUAUUACUUCCUGACCCAAAUCAUCCCUCUAAGUAUUCUACAUAAAUGAAAUGUCAUGAAAAACAUGUUUAUUUCACACUCUAAAGACGUUUAAUUUCAAAACAAAUCCGGUGGCGGGGGGGGGGAGGCGCUACCUCUUAAACUUGGGAUCCUCCAUUCCUCACCUCCCCCCCGCUCUCUUCACCACGAAAGGUGGUCCCAUGCCCCCCCCCCCUUCCCAGAGAAAUUUCCUAGCUACGCCUUUGCUCAAAAUAUGCUUUGAUGUGUCCAAAUCAAAGAAUAUUUUGAAAGAGGAAGAAGAGAUUAAAAACAUGUGUGAAGGUCUUUUAAGCGCUCUGAAGGGUGCACGUCAAGAAAUUGGUAUUUUGGCGAGAGUUAGGUAUGUCGUGUCAGGGAAUUUGUUUUUGACGACUACCCCUAGAAAUCCCAUGUCGGGUCAAAUUGACCCGACUUUCUCUUCUGAAGGGAAGGGGGUGAGAAAGCGCCUGUAAAUUAGGUACCAAACAAGUGAAAGUUUUAAAAAAAAUUAUUUUUUACAUAGUCAUAAUAAAAUAGGCUUUACCCAGGUACCUAAAAAGCCAUUAUAAUCAUGUGUCUAGUUACAAAUGUCCAAAUAGACUAAGAAAUGAAAUUGGAAGGUUUUGACGACAUCGCAUUUGCAUAAAAGAUUUUUUUUCUUCAUUUACGUGUCCAAGACAUGCAUCUCUGUUUUCUAGGCAUAUUCGUAAAGCUAAUUCCUGUUCUGUGCAAUCAUUCCCUCCCUUAGCAGUUUGAAAGAAUGACUCUGCAAAUAAUCAAUAUUUGCUUCUCCCUCAUACUGCAAAUACUGAUGAACAACAAAUAUUUACCUACCAUCAAACCUGCUCCGUUACAGCGCAAGUCUCGGUUGUCAAACAUGACAUAAGGCACCAAUUUUUCAAACUUAGACUCAAACGAAUCUUCGAGCGCCAAAGCACAAUGAAGCAAAUUUGUAGAAGAUGGCAGAAAAAUUGUUUCUUGAAAACUCAGAAACUUUCCUCCUAGAAUUUUACGGAGAACGUUAUCCUUGAUGCCUUUUAAUAUAAGUGCGUGUUAUGCACUGUCCAUUUUGCAGAAAAAUAUCUACAACUUUUCUGAGGAGAUUUGUCACUACUUAAAUGCUGGCACGGCGUUUUUCUUUAGUACCUACAGCGGAAUAAUUAGUGAGUGCAAGAGAAUAAAGUAGAAGGUUUGAAACAUUUUAAGUAACUCUAAUCCCACAUCGAUAGGUAACAUCCAAUGCAGUGAUCAUGAAUCGGUGAACCUCGAUUUCACAUUACGAUUAAUUACAAGAAAAGUUUAAAAGAGUCGCUACUGCGAACAGAAAGGGUGAAAAACGUCACCACUUGACGUGAAAGUUGCAUUUGGCAACCUGUAUCCAUAGUGUUUGCAUUGAGAGUUGCAUACCCAGACAGGGACACUAGUGCAAAGGUCUUCUUUCGAACCGGUGUUGAGACGUUUCUCCAGGGUGCAUCUUGUUCGAACGUCUGCUAGAAUGAAUCUCCGUUAUUUCUCAACCGUCUUAUUUUUGGGCUUUUUUGUGAAAGUGAUUAGUUGGCCCAUAACGCUCCUGACUGAUGUGCUCCGCCAAAGCAACACUCACCACGUGAGCAUAUUCUCCUGCUCCGAGUAUG
rnacentral:lncRNA from 1 species